rnacentral:lncRNA from 1 species
UUAAUUUUUGCAUUUAAUAACCGCAUUGCGGCUGAAACGAGCCAGCAAACUGCCACCGGUCAGUCAGUUGGGCAGCGAUCGCGACGGGCGGCCAUUAAGCUUAAUAUGGCCAAGUAAAUUCUUGGCCAACUAUCCGGAGGUGUGAAGAAAAGUGUCGACUUGUUAAGCUGCGGCCACAGCGGGCCCAGACAGAUAGCCACCAACACCAGAGCUCUGUGGACGAGAUCGCCUGAGUUGCGAGCGCAUUUCUCGGAAACAACGCGCUCGUUUCGUGGAAGCAAUAAAUAAGAAGGCGGUGGCGGCGGAGGGAGCGGCAUUGUCCUUCAUGUGUUGCGUGGCGACGACAUGGCGAAAAGGGCCGACGGACCAACACCACCGCCUUGUCGCACUCAAUUAGCGAACGCGAACGCGAGUCGCGCGCGUUUUUGGCGCGGCGAAAUCUGUUUGAUUUUCUUCUUGGCCAACUUAACGAUCGGCGUGCGGUUUUCUUGUUGAAGCAAAUUAACUAGACUGGUCUAGAGAUUAUCACCACCCAGCUACUCUAUCCCCCGCUGGCUGUCAACACCCGGCAUUGUCUUUGCGAAUGAAAUCCACAGACGAACAAUGGCUGGAAAAUAAUAUACAAGUUGCCUAUAAAGUGCCUGCUUAAGCUUUGAUGAGCUUAGACCCAUAAACCUCAUAAUGGUAGCUGCUCUAUAAAACAAAAUACGUGGCCAAGUGGAAUGGAGCUGAAAUUAAACCCCCCGCUUUCAAGCCAAUUCAAUUUGGGCGAUUCCACCGAAGUCUGUGUACACUUUAUGAGCAAGAGCCCCCAUUCAAAGCGGUUGUUAAAACCGAAAUUAGUUUUCUUAAUUAGUUCGGGCAGCUAAAAUUUAAUUAAACUUAAAGUGGAAGCAAAAU